rnacentral:lncRNA from 1 species
GGCAGAUUUGGAUUCUGCUGCAUGGAACCAGCAUACUUAACACAGUAUAGUCCUCUAUUACAAGUAUUUGCAACAUGAAAACAAAACAUCACACUCUAGAGGAAUAAUGGAGACACGUUAGCCUCUGCAAGAACUCCACACCACAAAUUUUUGGCUCUUGGCACUUCUGAAAUACUCAUUUUGGGAAUAUUGUUUAAGGCAAGGGCAUUUUAUGCAAUGUCUUUGUAAAAACCAAGGGCAAGAACAACCUGGAGAGAAAUUUUCAAAUUUUGGACCAGAGCCACCAAAUCAAUAAUGGCAGAACAAAAUGAAUUAUCAACCUCCACUGCUUCAAUCACAGGGAAAGGCAAGGAGUUAGCCAAAAGAGAAACUGCAGUCAAUGUUAAGAAACAGAAUGAAUUGACUUUGAGGUAGGCUUAUAUCUAAUUAAAUGAGACUGGG